rnacentral:rRNA from 1 species
UACGGAGGGUGCAAGCGUUAUCCGGAUUCACUGGGUUUAAAGGGUGCGUAGGUGGCGGGGUAAGUCAGGUGUGAAAUCUCGGGGCUCAACCCCGAAACUGCACUUGAUACUGCCUUGCUCGAGUACUGGAGAGGAGAUUGGAAUUUACGGUGUAGCAGUGAAAUGCGUAGAUAUCGUAAGGAAGACCAGCGGCGAAGGCGAAUCUCUGGACAGUUACUGACACUGAGGCACGAAGGCCAGGGGAGCAAACGGG